GCCUGGGUGGCUCAGUCGGUUGAGCUUCCGACUUCAGCUCGGGUCAUGAUCUCACAGUUCGUGGGUUCGAGCCCCACAUCAGGCC
rnacentral:tRNA from 1 species